rnacentral:lncRNA from 1 species
ACUCUAACUAACCCUUGGAUCCAAUCUUAAUCAAUUUAGAAAUUAGUUAUAACAAACUAAUUAAUUAGACCCUAGCCCAAUUAUGAAACCAAUUAGGUCCCAAUCUAAUUGGAGAAUUAGUUAGAUUAAAACUCCAUUGAUCUAGGGAUUGAUUCUUGAUGGAUAUCAGGAAAGCUAUUUGAUAAUAGGGCUUGAUCCAAUCAAGCCUAUUAUCCAACAAAAUUUGAUCCAAUCAAAACCUAUAUAAAACUACUUGAAUCCCAUUCAACUUAAAAUUUGAUUUGCAUCCCUA